rnacentral:lncRNA from 1 species
CUCUUCGUAUAUUAUGCCCCUUUAAGAGUUUGUAUUCCAGUUUAUAGUUUCAUUGAUAGAAGACCUGCGUACGAGAUAUCUAUUGCACCAAAGGUUUUAAGUAGAAAGUUCGCCUUUCGAAAAUUAAUUGGACGCCAUCACGACUGAGUAUACCGUCAAGAUUAUUUGUAUGUCUGGUGACUAUUCAUAUAUUCCCGUUCUCGUAACCAGAACCGUUACUUAUUAUCAGUGUCCACCAGAUGUUAAAAUAUUUGUUCAUUUCGUUUAGUAGUGCAAAAGAAAGGUGUGAUUGAAAUCAAAUACUAAUGAAAAUUUCGAAGUUAAAGUAAACGAGAAUUUGUAGCAGAUACAAACGGGUUCAUACGGAACAAAUAAUCACUUUUGCGGUGCUAAAGUAAUUGAUCAAGCCAUCUGUUGAGAUGUAAAUUAGAAAAUUAAGAGGAGAACAUUUUAUAGACAAACGGACGGAUUCUUAGUUAUGAGGGUAUUUUUUUAACACAUAUUUUUUUCUGAAAAAUCAAUGCCUUUCUUCUUCUUUGGUUCCACUUUAGAUGUGAAUUUGAAGCAUCUUUUACCAUCAUAAUGAACAGCAAUGCAGUCGUUAAACUUUCUACAAUAACUCUCACAUUCCUUAAAAGAGGGCUCUUCCCAAACUGUUUGAAUUUCAUCAGGUCCUUUGUAUUUUUUAUUGACUUCAUGGAGCAUGAUAUACAAUUUUUGACAUAGAAGGAGCUUUCCUUGAUAUCCUCUGCAAUAUAUUUCUGUUCACUGUAUAAAAAACCUGUUUUUUGCAGGUAUCUGAACGCCAUACAAGCUGUAUGAUGAAUGCAAACAUAUUCACAAUUUUCUAAA